UAGAUGCGAGAGUAGAGCAUAUCAAUAAGCGGAGGAAAAGAAACUAACAAGGAUUCCCCUAGUAACGGCGAGUGAAGCGGGAAGAGCUCAAAUUUGAAAUCUUAAAGGGUUUCCCUUUACGAAUUGUAGUUUAAAGAAGUGUUUUCUGUUGGAGUUUCGGUAAAGGUUCUUUGGAAUAGGACAUCAUAGAGGGUGAGAAUCCCGUAUUUGGUCCGUUACUUUCCUAGCGUUGUGAUACACUUUCAACGAGUCGGAUUGUUUGGGAAUGCAGUCCAAAAUGGGUGGUAAAUUUCAUCUAAAGCUAAAUACUGGCGAGAGACCGAUAGCGAACAAGUACCGUGAGGGAAAGAUGAAAAGAACUUUGAAAAGAGAGUUAAACAGUACGUGAAAUUGUCAAAAGGGAAGCGUUUGACACCAGUGUUGUUUUUCCGAAAAUCAAUUACGAAUGUUUUGUUUUUGAGGAGUUAUGACUUCAUCGGCUUGCUCCUUUCUUUAUGAAACUUUCUUAAUGCACUUUUCGUUUAACAAGUCAACAUCAAUUUCUUUUGUUGUAAAAGGGUCAUUGGAAGGUGGCUUUCAUUUCGGUGAAAGUGUUUAUAGCCUUUGACUUCUGCAAUCGGAGAGAUUGAGGUCUGCAGCGUAGAUCCUUCGGGGUUAGAUACAUUUGUGCUAAGUUAUAGUUUUUCAUAGACAACAUGUUGACUAUGAUUAAUCAUGUAGCUUACUCGCUUAUGCUAUUUUACCUACGCUUAGGAUGUUGACGAGACUGUCGAUCUC
rnacentral:rRNA from 1 species